rnacentral:ncRNA from 1 species
AAAAGUGAAAGUAAGCAAACUUGUAUAAGUCAACAUAUUGGGUUGAUGUAUCUACUAAGGCACCUAUGUCUUAUCUAUGAGUUUAUGAAUGGCUUAU